CCUAUUUCAGAUAAAAAGAAUAUGUACACAGCACAAUCUUUUGAUCCUUCCAUCACCUUGUUCAAUUACAUCCUAGCAUCAAUUAAUGUCAUAAACCAGAAGAAACAAACUGCACAAUUAACUUGAUGGUAGCCAAGUCUCCGGUAACUGAAAGGAAAUAUAUGCCAAAAGAGACACUGGUAUACAUGAUUUGCAGGACCCCAGAAGGCAGAUAAAAAAUAUUUCUUUCCAACACUUUAGCCUCACAGUUAAUCAAAUUUAAAUUGUUUUCAACCUGCACCUUAACCCAAUAGCUGAAACUAGUGACAGUAAGCAAAAACCCCGACAAAGCCUGUAAAUUGUAUUUUCUGUUCAUUAAGAUGUUGAUGUUACCGGUUGUAUGCCAAACAACCAAAAAAAAAAGUGUCAAAUAAAUUUCAUCCAGUACUUCAGACAAUUUAACUGCCAAUAUCUGGAUCUUGGUUUCGUAAAAGGCCAUCUAAAAAUUUGAAACAAUUAAUUACCAAAGCUAUUUGACAGUUUUUCAGUUAUUUGAGACCUGAAGGAUGUGUAAUGAAAGUAAGUACAGAGUCUCAAUAGGCGAGAAUCAGGUGCUCCUUUGCAUAAUAUAUACAUCCAUAACUCAAACAAUGAGCCUGUGUUGCAUAGGCUUUCACAAAUUGAUUGGUCUAGCUAGUAUAAACUUGAAACUCUGAGAAACCUCCAGAAUCCCCCUUUUUUUUUAGUUAAUGAUCUAUGAGAACCUCAGUUGCAAGCUAAUCCAAAUGGUGAUGCCAUAUCACUGUAGAAAUUCAGUUUAGAGGGAGGGGUGGGCCACCAGGGAAAACCAUUUUGCUAUGAAACAUCAGACUUAUCAGCGCAAUAUGCUAAUUCUCUAUUUGGCAUGUUUGAACAUUGACACCAUGGACAAACUGAUAUGUCAUCACCCACUUAGAUAAAAGAAAUGCAACUGCUCAAAGUCAAAUAUACAAGUCACACUCAAACAUCUACGAAACUCUAUUGCCUCAUAUCAACUUCUGAUUGUCAACAGAAAUCAUAAUAAGGGUAUUCCUAGAGAGCUAGGAUAGACAAAGAACACAUGUAAUAUGCCAGAGCUAGGAUAGACAAAGAACACAUGUAAUAUGCCAGAGCUAGGAUAGACAAAGAACACAUGUAAUAUGCCAGAGCUAGGGUGAUCAAUCAUUGGAUAACAAACAGUAACAGCAGCAAACCCCUCAAUUCCACGAUUGCUAAGUCAUUACUCAGCCUGACAGCUGAACCAUUCCCAAUACGCAGCAAGAAACAUUAAAAUUCCUCAAUCAGAACAUUUACUCUUAGCCAAGCAACUAUUGAAAUGCAAUACAAUUAUUAUAAGAUCCAUCUAAAUCCCUCUAUUUUACAAGAAAACAUCGAAAAAUGUAACCAAGAUUCAAGAAAGGAGAUUCAAGGAGUCAUUUCAAGAAUCAAGACGGUAAAAAGUGGUAGUAUAUAAAUAUUCUUCGAUUCCCAAACCGGAAAGAUAAAAAUUAUCCAGCCCAAGUAUAAAAUCGAGUGAGAGAGUAAAAUGGAAAAAUAGAAAAGACCCAUUUCGGCAAAUCCAAAAAUCAUACAUUAGAAUUGAAAAGACAGAGAAAGCGAGCACCUCC
rnacentral:lncRNA from 1 species